rnacentral:rRNA from 1 species
UACGAAGGGAGCUAGCGUUGUUCGGAAUCACUGGGCGUAAAGCGCACGUAGGCGGAUGUGUCAGUCAGGGGUGAAAUCCCGGAGCUCAACUCCAGAACUGCCUUUGAUACUGAGAGCUUGAGUCCGGGAGAGGUGAGUGGAACUGCGAGUGUAGAGGUGAAAUUCGUAGAUAUUCGCAAGAACACCAGUGGCGAAGGCGGCUCACUGGCCCGGUACUGACGCUGAGGUGCGAAAGCGUGGGGAGCAAACAGGG